AGAAGUUUAUUAUAAUUUAGUAUUUUUAAUUUUUUAUUAAAAAGUUUUUAACUUUUA
rnacentral:tRNA from 2 species